rnacentral:rRNA from 1 species
UAGCGUAGGGGGCGAGCGUUGUCCGGAAUCAUUGGGCGUAAAGAGCUCGUAGGCGGUUCAGUAAGUCAGGUGUGAAAGCUCCGAGCUCAACUCGGAGAGGCCACCUGAUACUGCUGUGACUAGAAUCCAGUAGGGGGAGUGUGGAACUCCUGGUGUAGCGGUGAAAUGCGCAGAUAUCAGGAAGAACACCAGCGGCGAAGGCGGACACUCUGGGCUGGAAUUGACGCGUGAGGAGCGAAAGUGUGGGUAGCAAACAGG